AAAACACAUUUGCGAUCUUUCCAUUUAACUACGUAUCGUUGAUAAAGUUCUCACUGCCUCGCGGAGCAUCACAAUUCAGGUGGAAACGUAUUAAUGAAGAAUGAAUAUUGCUCAGCUUCUGAUUAUCGCAGCCGGACUGUGUGUCCUUUCUCCUGGCGUUAAAGGAUGCAUGCCAACACAGCGCAUAACGCGCUGUCAACGGACAGACUUCUAUCCAGAGGCAACUUGUCCGGACGCUGACAGCCCAAAGUGCCGUCGAGGAGCCAAGGUGUGCGCCUGUAUUCCGAAUAUGUACAGGAAUGCCAGAGGGAAAUGCGUCCCGUACCGCUAUUGCUUGGCGGUAAGGAAAAAAGGGUGAUUGAUCGUAUUACGAAAAUAAAUAGACUCAGAUGGAGCUGC
rnacentral:lncRNA from 1 species